AUUGAACGCUGGCGGCAUGCUUUACACAUGCAAGUCGGACGGCAGCGGGGUAGUGCUUGCACUACUGCCGGCGAGUGGCGAACGGGUGAGUAAUAUAUUGGAACGUACCGAGUAAUGGGGGAUAACCAAUCGAAAGAUUGGCUAAUACCGCAUACGCUCUGAGGAGGAAAGCAGGGGACCUUCGGGCCUUGCGUUAUUCGAGCGGCCAAUAUCUGAUUAGCUAGUUGGUGGGGUAAGGGCCUACCAAGGCGACGAUCAGUAGCGGGUCUGAGAGGAUGAUCCGCCACACUGGGACUGAGACACGGCCCAGACUCCUACGGGAGGCAGCAGUGGGGAAUUUUGGACAAUGGGCGCAAGCCUGAUCCAGCCAUGCCGCGUGUCUGAAGAGGGCCUUCGGGUUGUAAAGGACUUUUGUUAGGGAAGAAAAAGGAGCGGUUAAUACCCGUUUCUGCUGACGGUACCUAAAGAAUAAGCACCGGCUAACUACGUG
rnacentral:rRNA from 1 species